UAGAGUUUGGNUCUGGCUCAGGACGAACGCUGGCGGCGUGCCUAAUACAUGCAAGUCGUACGCUUCUUUUUCCACCGGAGCUUGCUCCACCGGAAAAAGAAGAGUGGCGAACGGGUGAGUAACACGUGGGUAACCUGCCCAUCAGAAGGGGAUAACACUUGGAAACAGGUGCUAAUACCGUAUAACAAUCGAAACCGCAUGGUUUUGAUUUGAAAGGCGCUUUCGGGUGUCGCUGAUGGAUGGACCCGCGGUGCAUUAGCUAGUUGGUGAGGUAACGGCUCACCAAGGCCACGAUGCAUAGCCGACCUGAGAGGGUGAUCGGCCACAUUGGGACUGAGACACGGCCCAAACUCCUACGGGAGGCAGCAGUAGGGAAUCUUCGGCAAUGGACGAAAGUCUGACCGAGCAACGCCGCGUGAGUGAAGAAGGUUUUCGGAUCGUAAAACUCUGUUGUUAGAGAAGAACAAGGAUGAGAGUAACUGUUCAUCCCUGACGGUAUCUAAC
rnacentral:rRNA from 1 species